UACGUAGGGUGCAAGCGUUAAUCGGAAUUACUGGGCGUAAAGCGCGCGCAGGCGGUUUUGUAAGUCAGGUGUGAAAUCCCAGGGCUUAACCUUGGAACUGCAUUUGUGACUGCAUAGCUAGAGUUCGGUAGAGGGGGAUGGAAUUCCGCGUGUAGCGGUGAAAUGCGUAGAUAUGCGGAGGAACACCGAUGGCGAAGGCGAUCCCCUGGGCCUGCACUGACGCUCAUGCACGAAAGCGUGGGGAGCAAACAGG
rnacentral:rRNA from 1 species